rnacentral:rRNA from 1 species
UACAGAGGUCUCAAGCGUUGUUCGGAUUCAUUGGGCGUAAAGGGUGCGUAGGCGGCGCGGUAAGUCGGGUGUGAAAUCUCGGAGCUUAACUCCGAAACUGCAUUCGAUACUGCCGUGCUUGAGGACUGGAGAGGAGAGUGGAAUUCCUGGUGUAGCGGUGAAAUGCGCAGAUAUCAGGAAGAACACCCGUGGCGGAAGGCGGCUCUCUGGGACGGUACUGACGCUGAGACGCGAAAGCGUGGGGAGCGAACAGG